rnacentral:rRNA from 2 species
GCCCCCUGGACAAAGACUGACGCUCAGGUGCGAAAGCGUGGGGAGCAAACAGGAUUAGAUACCCUGGUAGUCCACGCCGUAAACGAUGUCUACUUGGAGGUUGUGCCCUUGAGGCGUGGCUUCCGGAGCUAACGCGUUAAGUAGACCGCCUGGGGAGUACGGCCGCAAGGUUAAAACUCAAAUGAAUUGACGGGGGCCCGCACAAGCGGUGGAGCAUGUGGUUUAAUUCGAUGCAACGCGAAGAACCUUACCUGGUCUUGACAUCCACAGAACUUUCCAGAGAUGGAUUGGUGCCUUCGGGAACUGUGAGACAGGUGCUGCAUGGCUGUCGUCAGCUCGUGUUGUGAAAUGUUGGGUUAAGUCCCGCAACGAGCGCAAC